CCAGACGCCAUCUAAUUAACUAUCGAUUUUGACCUCAGAUGACCAUAUAAGCGAUGUAAACAUGAAUGAAGAUAUGAAUAGAUUAAACCAACACGUGCAAUUGGAUUUUUUUAGGUCUGUUUGAGUUUAUUUUAUAGAUUAAAAAUAUAUGUUUCUCAUUGUUUUAACCGUAUAAGAAUGAUUUUAUAUGGAUCGAAUCAGUAUUCAAAUGAUUUACCGUGUUUCACUUUCAUUGUUGACAUUCUUUUUCUUUAAAUAACCAGUACACGUACAAUGCAUGCGUUGUCAAUCUCUAGCAAGGGGUUAAAUUGAAGUUCACAUGAAUACGGAUUUAAUGAGGUCGACUAAUUCACUUGCAAGUGAAUGAGUAAUUAUCAAUGUUUCAUCGCUUAAUUUGACAAAAUUGAACCAUUUUGGCUGCUUAAAGCGAAUUAUUAUUUCACUAUUUCACUUUCAUUAUUGAUUGAACAAAAACAAAUCUUACUUUAGUUUUUU
rnacentral:lncRNA from 1 species